AUUUAUGGAGAGUUUGAUCCUGGCUCAGGACGAACGCUGGCGGCGUGCUUAACACAUGCAAGUCGAACGGUUCAGUCGUCGGUCUUCAGACGUCGGACGUCGGGAUAGUAAGGAAUUCGCCUUAGCGAAUUCCAGAUUUAAAUCCCUGACGACUGCCGCCUGACGACCGACGACCGAAUAGUGGCGCACGGGU
rnacentral:rRNA from 1 species